rnacentral:rRNA from 1 species
AAGGAAUAUUGGUCAAUGGACGCAAGUCUGAACCAGCCAUGCCGCGUGAAGGAUUAAGGCCCUCUGGGUUGUAAACUUCUUUUAUAUGGGACGAAAUGUGCCGAUUCUUCGGCACUUGACGGUACCAUAGGAAUAAGCACCGGCUAACUCCGUGCCAGCAGCCGCGGUAAUACGUAGGGGGCAAGCGUUGUCCGGAUUUACUGGGUGUAAAGGGCGCGCAGGCGGGAUAAAAAGUCAGUGGUGAAAUCCUACAGCUUAACUGUAGAACUGCCUUUGAUACUUUUACUCUUGAGUUCGGGAGAGAGAGACGGAAUUCCAGGUGUAGUGGUGAAAUACGUAGAUAUCUGGAAGAACACCAGUUGCGAAGGCGGUCUCUUGGUCCGACACUGACGCUGAGGCGCGAAAGCGUGGGGAGCAAACA